CAAUAGCGUAUAUUAAAGUUGUUGCGGUUAAAAAGUUCGUAGUUGGAUUUCUGGUAGGAGUGACCGUUCCGAACUUGAUUGUUCGUGUAUUGUGUUUUCUCCAGCCAUCCUUGUGGAGAACUUUUCUUGCAUUAAUUUGUAGGGAUUGGGACCCGCAUCGUUUACUGUGAAAAAAUUAGAGUGUUUAAAGCAGGCAAUCGCUUGAAUACAUUAGCAUGGAAUAAUAAGAUAGGACUUUGGUACUAUUUUGUUGGUUUGCAUACCAAAUUAAUGAUCAACAGGAACAGUUUGAGGAUAUUCGUAUGAACAUGUCAGAGGUGAAAUUCUUGGAUUUUGAUCAGACGAACUACUGCGAAANCANNNAUCAAGGAUGUUUUCAUNAA
rnacentral:rRNA from 1 species